rnacentral:rRNA from 1 species
UGGGGGAAUAUUGCGGCAAUGGGGGGAAACCCUGACGCAGCAACGCCGCGUGAUCGAAGAAGGUCUUCGGAUUGUAAACCUCUGUUUUCGGUGACGAACAAAUGACGGUAACCGAGUAGGAAGCCAUGGCUAACUACGUGCCAGCAGCCGCGGUAAUACGUAGGUGGCAAGCGUUAUCCGGAAUUACUGGGUGUAAAGGGAGCGCAGGCGGGAUAGCAAGUCAGCUGUGAAAACUAUGGGCUCAACCCAUAAACUGCAGUUGAAACUGUUAUUCUUGAGUGGAGUAGAGGCAAGCGGAAUUCCGAGUGUAGCGGUGAAAUGCGUAGAUAUUCGGAGGAACACCAGUGGCGAAGGCGGCUUGCUGGGCUCUAACUGACGCUGAGGCUCGAAAGUGUGGGGAGCAAACAGGAUUAGAUACCCUGGUAGU